rnacentral:rRNA from 1 species
GAGGAAUAUUGGUCAAUGGACGCAAGUCUGAACCAGCCAUGCCGCGUGCAGGAUGACGGCCCUAUGGGUUGUAAACUGCUUUUAUUUGGGAAGAAACCUUUGCUCGUGAGCGAAGCUGACGGUACUAAAUGAAUAAGCAUCGGCUAACUCCGUGCCAGCAGCCGCGGUAAUACGGAGGAUGCAAGCGUUAUCCGGAUUUAUUGGGUUUAAAGGGUGCGUAGGCGGGAAAAUAAGUCAGUGGUGAAAUCCUGCAGCUUAACUGUAGAACUGCCAUUGAUACUGUUUUUCUUGAGUACAUUUGAAGUGGACGGAAUGUGUUGUGUAGCGGUGAAAUGCAUAGAUAUGACACAGAACACCGAUUGCGAAAGCAGUUCACUAAACUGUCACUGACGCUGAGGCACGAAAGCGUGGGUAGCAAAC